rnacentral:rRNA from 1 species
GACGAACGCUGGCGGCGUGCCUAAUACAUGCAAGUAGAACGCAGUUGCGAACGGGUGAGUAACGCGUAGGUAACUGCCUGGUAGCGGGGGAUAACUAUUGGAAACGAUAGCUAAUACCGCAUACUACCAGAUGGACCUUCGUUGUAUUAGCUAGUUGGUGGGGUAACGGCGCACCAAGGCAAAGAUACAUAGCCGACCUUAGAGGGGGAUGCGCCCAAAUUGGACGUGGACACGGCCCAGACUCCUUCGGGAGGCAGCAGUAGGGAAUCUUUGGCAAUGGACGGAAGGCUGACCGAGCAACGGCGGGGGAGUGAAGAAGGUUUUCGGAGCGUAAAGCUCCGGUGUAAGAGAAGCGGUAUCUUACCAGAAAGGGACGGCUAACUACGUGCCAGCAGCCGCGGUAAUUC